AACGAACGCUGGCGGCAUGCCUAACACAUGCAAGUCGAACGAGACCUUCGGGUCUAGUGGCGCACGGGUGCGUAACGCGUGGGAACCUGCCUUUAGGUUCGGAAUAACUCAGAGAAAUUUGAGCUAAUACCGGAUGAUGUCUUCGGACCAAAGAUUUAUCGCCUUUAGAUGGGCCCGCGUUGGAUUAGCUAGUUGGUGGGGUAAAGGCCUACCAAGGCGACGAUCCAUAGCUGGUCUGAGAGGAUGAUCAGCCACACUGGGACUGAGACACGGCCCAGACUCCUACGGGAGGCAGCAGUGGGGAAUAUUGGACAAUGGGCGAAAGCCUGAUCCAGCAAUGCCGCGUGAGUGAUGAAGGCCUUAGGGUUGUAAAGCUCUUUUACCCGAGAUGAUAAUGACAGUAGCGGGAGAAUAAGCUCCGGCUAACCCCGUG
rnacentral:rRNA from 1 species